rnacentral:lncRNA from 1 species
AACAGAACUUAGCCUGGAGCGUGUGUAACGUAAGUCAGCAGGUCUGAACCUUAGACUGUCUGGACCACCUCCUCAUCGCAGAGGUGGCGAUGCUGGGCCUGCCCUGCUCACACGGCUGAAGAGUAUCACUGGGAAGGAAGUGGGCUCGUGAGAUAAUCCAAUCCAGUGCUUCCCAGCCUUUAAUGAGAAAUGGUAAACCAGUGUGAGGAAGAGCACGGAUUCUGGAGUCAGACGGCCGUCCAGUGAUGGAAUUCUGGCUCUGCCACUAUCAGCUGUCCUGCAUGAAGGGAUUCCUUAGGAUCUGUCUUCCUGGGGAGCACCACACUGCAGGUGACACCACCCGUGGGCCUGAGGGGUGAAGACAGGCAGCUGUUGUGAGUCACGCACAGAGCUUGGGCAUGUGGUCUAAGCAGGCCGAGCCUAUGCAUGAGAGCCCACUCAGGAGCUGGGGUGAGAAGAGGAGGGGGCAGGCCAGAGGCCAGGAGCGUCCUGCACUGCUACAUACUGUGCUGUUAACCUCACGGUGCCCAGAAAUUUUACAUUUGAACCUUGUCUUCAGGUCAUGAUGAAGGUAUAUUUGCAAAGGCAGGAGGAUAUGGACAUAUUUAUCAGUUUGGCUGGAGAGCAGUGCUAUAAUCAUAGCUCAGUGCAUCUUGGAACUCCUGGGUUCAAGCCAUCCUCCUGCCUCAGCCUCCUGAAGAGCUUGGAUGAUAGGUAUGCACCAGGCCCUGCUUCUUAUAUUUAUUCUUUAAGGGAAGUUCAAAACAAACGUAAAGAAACAACAGCCUGUGGGCCACUGGACAUCAGAGUGUAGUUCAUCGGGGCGAAGAGGCUUGUUUUAGAGUCAGUGCGGCCCUCGGAAUGGUCACGUUGGCCCCUCAGAAGCAGAAGUUGGUUGAUCCCUGUUCCAAUGCUCAGCCACUAAUGAGCCUCAGCUGCUCCCUCCAUCUCAGCUUCUGUGCCUUUCUUUAGAUUAUUAUCAAACACAUGUGUUUAUUUAGCUUCUCAUGUAUUUCUUAUUUUCUGCCCCGCUUAACAGCUAAGGUGUGCGUUCCUUGAGAGUAGAGGCUAUGUCUAAUAUCUCUGUUUCUGGCAUAGAACUGAACACAUAAGCAUAGCUUAGGAAUAUUUGUUAACUGGGUCAUCAAGGUGUCUGACAGGACGAAGUAAGUUUGGUUUCUAACAUAGUUUUAGAUGUUCUGAAUUCUUCUAAAAAUAAUACAUUUGAAAACAACCCUUUAUUUCAAACAGUGGUUUAUCUCUGACUCUAAAACUGAUGGAUUUCAAAGUACAUGGUUUCUUGACCAGGUUUUUAAGGUGGCUCAUUACUCUACAGACACAGUCUUAAAGCGGCUUCCUCAACGGCUUGACUCACUAACCUUGCUGAAUGUCCAUGACGAGUAGAACUCGGUGUAUUCAUUUUUUAACUGAUACAUAAUAGUUGUACAUAUUGAUGAGGUACAUGUGAUAUUUUGAUUUGUGCAUACGAUGCUUAAUAAUCAAAUUAGAGUAUUUAGGAUAACCACCGCUUCAAACGUUUCUCAUUCUCUGUGUGUCCUUGAUACAAGUAAUUUCUCUUUUAGAAAUUCAACCUAAGGAAACCAAGCAGAGUCCACCUUUAAGCCCAGGAUGACAGGAGUGACGACAUCUGCUUUGACAAGCAGUCAUAAAAGUAUGUUUUUAAAUAAAUUCCAGCUUCAUGGGAAAAUUCUCACAAUAUAAUAUUAAAUUAAAAAGCAGGAUAUAAAAUUAUCUACAGAAUAUACAGUAUAAACCCAAGUGUGUAAGGAACACACACAACUACGUCAAGGCAACAGAAUUGCCAUUUGUAGUUGUGGAAUUCUGAGCAAUUUUAUUUUCUAAUGCAUUUUUGUCACAUGUGUGAAUAUAUUACAAAAAGUUUUUUCAAAAAAUAGGAAAUUCCAGUUGGGUACGGUGGCUCACGCC